rnacentral:rRNA from 1 species
AGUGAACGCUGGCGGUAGGCCUAACACAUGCAAGUCGAACGGCAGCACAGUAAGAGCUUGCUCUUACGGGUGGCGAGUGGCGGACGGGUGAGGAAUAUAUCGGAAUCUACUUUUUCGUGGGGGAUAACGUAGGGAAACUUACGCUAAUACCGCAUACGACCUACGGGUGAAAGCAGGGGAUCUUCGGACCUUGCGCGAUUGAAUGAGCCGAUGUCGGAUUAGCUAGUUGGCGGGGUAAAGGCCCACCAAGGGGACGAUCCGUAGCUGGUCUGAGAGGAUGGUCAGCCACACUGGAACUGGGACACGGUCCAGGCUACUGCGGGAGGCAGCAGUGGGGAAUAUUGGGCAAUGGGCGCAAGCCUGAUCCAGCCAGACCGCGUGGGUGAAGGAGGCCUUCGGGUUGUGAAGCCCUUUUGUUGGGAAAGAAAAGCAGCAGGUUGAUACCCCGCUGUUCUGACGGUACCCAAAGAAUAAGCACCGGCUAACUUCGUG